AUUGAUUCGCCGUAGCAUUGGAUGUCGUUGUCGAAGCUGAAAUACCCAAGUUAAGAAUAUCCUGUAGCAAACCAGUUUGAGCCGAUUGAUUUAAGUGAUUAAAUGGAAGAGUGACCCACUCAUCAGUGGCCAAGGUAUUAAACAACGUGGGCCAAAAUAAUUCUUGGUGACCCGCUGCAUUCGAGGAUUCACCAAUCUCAAAGAUGGAGUUCCCAAUAUGUGGCCUUGAAGAUUCGCCCACCUCAAAGGUGGAGUUCAUAAAACGGGGCCUUAUGAAUGGUGGAGAAUCUAGGUCACACCCAACCAGUGACGGACCUGGGCUUGUGCCUGGUGGGUCAAGUGACUCACCAGGGCCCAAAAAAAAUUUUAAGUUUUUUUUUUUUUUUUUUAAAAUAAAAAAUAAAAAAUACUAACGUCUGAAAAUCCGUCCCUCAAGUUCGCAUCUUCCUCUUCGCCUCUUCCUCAGACCUCAGUUCCUCUUCGCUAGUUCGCUUCAUCUUCCUCUUCGCAUAAUUUCAGUUUGCUCACGCCUCCAGUGCUGGCUGUGCUACUGGCCUGCUGGCUGCUGCUCGCCUAGUCGACUGCUCCAGCCUCCAGUGCUCUGUGCAGCUGUGCUCUAUCCUCUGCUGCUCGCCUAGUCGCCUGCUCCAGUGCCUAGUCGCUGACUUGCUGUCUUGCUGAGUGUUGGGCAUGGCCCUGCUGCAGUGCUGCUCCGCCUGCUCCGCUGCUCGCCUCAAUCAUUCAGCGCCUGCCGCCUGCCGCCUCCGCCUAGCAAGGUAGGUAAUCAUCAAUUGAUUCUUUUUUUUUUUUUGUGAAUUUUUUAUCAAAUUUGCAUUACUUGUCUCUUAAAAUUAGUAUAUACGGUGAAUGUUCAUUGAAUUUGCAUUAUUUGUGCAAAUUGUGUUUUGACUGUUAAAUUGAACUUAUUAGUUUAUCUGUUUAUGUCAUUAUGUGAAAUUGUGAAUAUGUGAUGUCGGACAUUGUAUAAGACAACAAUUAAACUAUUAGUGUAAGGAGGAUUAUAAAUUUAUAAUUAGAUUACAGUUUGGACUGGUUAGUGCUUAGUGGUGCUAGUCGCAUAUUCGGCUGGAAGUUCCGUAUAGACUAGUGGAGAUAUUAGUUUGUUGAUUUUAGUCUUGUCAAUUUUAAGCUUUUUAAUUAUUAGUUAGUAUUGUAAUCUUGUCAAUUUUCUAUUUGGAUGAUCUUUGUAAAUAAUUUUUCUGGGGAAUAUUGCUUGAUUUAGUUGAAUAUUGCUUGAUUUAGUUGAAUAUGAACCGUCCAACCAAUUAUGAAUAGGGGUAAUUCGAUGUUGGGGUUAUUUGCAUAUGAUUCAUACUUGUGAUUUCAUUUGUUUUGUUAACUUUGUGUUUGAUUAGGUUGUUGAAUUUAUAUGCAGGGAAGACUCAGCUUAUCAAUCAUUUUCUAAUCAACAAGAGUUGGUAUAUUGUUAAUUUGCCUGGAUAUGGGUGAGUCUCUGUAAUUUUGGUUUUAAUUUGGGCAAUUUCUGUAAUUCUUGAGUCUAUUUCAUGCUGGGAAUAUUGUAUACUUGUAUUGUGAAUCAAUUGUUAUUCGUGUUUAUUCCUGAUCAUAUGCUUGAAUCAUAUUGAAGUGCCGAAAAAGGAUUGCUUUUACGCCUUGAGGCAUUGCUUCAAAAUUAUUGAUCAUCCUGUAAAACAUGUUGCGGACUGAUAUGUAUUUAGGCUACAUCCGUUGUAGUUAAUUUGGUCUCCAAUCGUGUUGUUUAUUUUCAAGUUUAGGAAGUAAAUGUCUCCUUACAUGU